rnacentral:rRNA from 1 species
UCCUGCCGGAGGCCAUUGCUAUCGGAGUCCGAUUUAGCCAUGCUAGUCGUGCGAGUUCAGACUCGCGGCACCGAGCUCAGUAACACGUGGCCAAACUACCCUACAGAGACGGAUACCCUCGGGAAACUGAGGUUAACCCGUCAUACCGAUCUCAGGCUUGAAUCGCAGAGAUCACAAAAUGCCCCGGCGCUGUAGGAUGUGGCUGCGGUUGAUUAGGUAGACGGUGGGGUAACGGCCCACCGUGCCCAUAAUCAGUACAGGUUGUGAGAGCAAGAACCUGGAGACGGAAUCUGAGACAAGAUUCCGGGCCCUACGGGGCGCAGCAGGCGCGAAACCUUUACACUGCACGGAAGUGCGAUAGGGGAAUCCCAAGUGCGAGGGCAUAUUAGCCCUCGCUUUUCUCGACUGUAAGGUGGUCGACGAAUAAGAGCUGGGCAAGACCGGUGCCAGCCGCCGCGGUAAUACCGGCAGCUCAAGUGAUGUCCCAUAUUAUUGGGCCUAAAGCGUCCGUAGCUGGCCGACCAAGUCUCCCGGGAAAUCCACCCGCCCAACGGGUGGGCGUCCGGUAGAAACUGGCCGGCUUGGAACCGGAAGGCUCAGAGAGUACGUCCGGGGUAGGAGUGAAANNNCGUAAUCCCGGACGGACUACCGAUGGCGAAAGCACUCUGAGAAGACGGCUUCGACAGUGAGGGACGAAAGCUCGGGUCUCAAACCGGAUUAGAUACCCGGGUAGUCCGAGCUGUAAACGAUGCUCGUUAGGUGUGGCACCCACUACGAGUGGGUGCUGCGCCGUAGGGAAGCCGCUAAACGAGCCGCCUGGGAAGUACGUCCGCAAGGAUGAAACUUAAAGGAAUUGGCGGGGGAGCACUACAACCGGAGGAGCCUGCGGUUUAAUUGGACUCAACGCCGGACAUCUCACCAGCUCCGACUACAGUGAUGACGACCAGGUUGAUGACCUCAUCACGACGCUGUAGAGAGGAGGUGCAUGGCCGCCGUCAGCUCGUACCGUGAGGCGUCCUGUUAAGUCAGGCAACGAGCGAGACCCGCACCCCUAAUUGCCAGCAACAAUUUCGAUUGGUUGGGUACAUUAGGAGGACUGCCAGUGUUAAACUGGAGGAAGGAACGGGCAACGGUAGGUCAGUAUGCCCCGAAUGAGCUGGGCAACACGCGGGCUACAAUGGCUAAGACAAUGGGUCGCUAUCUCGACAGAGAACGCUAAUCUCGAAACUUAGUCGUAGUUCGGAUUGAGGGCUGAAACUCGCCCUCAUGAAGCUGGAUUCGGUAGUAGCCGCCUUUCAGUAGAAGGCGACGAAUACGUCCCUGCUCCUUGUACACACCGCCCGUCA